rnacentral:ncRNA from 1 species
AAUGAUGGUGCCAACGAGUCUGGCCUUCUGGUCCGAAAGUGUUUGGCAAACUGGUCAAUCACCGUCAUGACAGGGAUCCGGGCUUGGAAUUUUUCCCCGUGAAC